rnacentral:rRNA from 1 species
CCAAUGUGAACGUUACAAACUGUUGCCUCGGCGGGGUCACGCCCCGGGUGCGUCGCAGCCCCGGAACCAGGCGCCCGCCGGAGGAACCAACCAAACUCUUUCUGUAGUCCCCUCGCGGACGUAUUUCUUACAGCUCUGAGCAAAAAUUCAAAAUGAAUCAAAACUUUCAACAACGGAUCUCUUGGUUCUGGCAUCGAUGAAGAACGCAGCGAAAUGCGAUAAGUAAUGUGAAUUGCAGAAUUCAGUGAAUCAUCGAAUCUUUGAACGCACAUUGCGCCCGCCAGUAUUCUGGCGGGCAUGCCUGUCCGAGCGUCAUUUCAACCCUCGAACCCCUCCGGGGGAUCGGCGUUGGGGAUCGGGACCCCUCACACGGGUGCCGGCCCCGAAAUACAGUGGCGGUCUCGCCGCAGCCUCUCCUGCGCAGUAGUUUGCACAACUCGCACCGGGAGCGCGGCGCGUCCACGUCCGUAAAACACCCAACUUUCUGAAAUGUUGACCUCGGAUCAGGUAGGAAUACCCGCUGAACUUAAGCAUAUCAAUAAGCGGAG